rnacentral:rRNA from 1 species
CCUACGGGAGGCAGCAGUGAGGAAUAUUGGUCAAUGGACGAGAGUCUGAACCAGCCAAGUAGCGUGAAGGAUGACUGCCCUAUGGGUUGUAAACUUCUUUUAUAUGGGAAUAAAAUGUUCCACGUGUGGGAUUUUGUAUGUACCAUAUGAAUAAGGAUCGGCUAACUCCGUGCCAGCAGCCGCGGUAAUACGGAGGAUCCGAGCGUUAUCCGGAUUUAUUGGGUUUAAAGGGAGCGUAGGUGGAUUGUUAAGUCAGUUGUGAAAGUUUGCGGCUCAACCGUAAAAUUGCAGUUGAAACUGGCAGUCUUGAGUACAGUAGAGGUGGGCGGAACUCGAGGUGUAGCGGUGAAAUGCUUAGAUAUCACGAAGAACUCCGAUUGCGAAGGCAGUUCACUGGACUGCAACUGACACUGAGGCUCGAAAGUGUGGGUAUCAAACAGGAUUAGAUACCCCAGUAGUC